GACAGAGGUGCCAAGCGUUAGGCGGAAUCACUGGGCUUAAAGCGUGUGUAGGUGGAUGUCUAAGUACAUUGUGAAAUCCCACGGCUCAACCGUGGAACUGCUUGGUAUACUGGAUGUCUUGAGCCACUUAGGGGCUACCGGAACAAAUGGUGGAGCGGUGAAAUGCGUAGAUAUCAUUUGGAACGCCAAUGGUGAAAACAGGUAGCUGGGAGUGUGCUGACACUGAGACACGAAAGCCAGGGGAGCGAACGGG
rnacentral:rRNA from 1 species